rnacentral:rRNA from 1 species
GACGAACGCUUUCUUCUUUCUUAACACCUGCAAGUCGAACGGAAAGGCCCUGCUUUUGUGGGGUGCUCGAGUGGCGAACGGGUGAGUAACACGUGAGUAACCUGCCCUUGACUUUGGGAUAACUUCAGGAAACUGGGGCUAAUACCGGAUAGGAGCUCCUGCUGCAUGGUGGGGGUUGGAAAGUUUCGGCGGUUGGGGAUGGACUCGCGGCUUAUCAGCUUGUUGGUGGGGUAGUGGCUUACCAAGGCUUUGACGGGUAGCCGGCCUGAGAGGGUGACCGGCCACAUUGGGACUGAGAUACGGCCCAGACUCCUACGGGAGGCAGCAGUGGGGAAUAUUGCACAAUGGGCGGAAGCCUGAUGCAGCAACGCCGCGUGCGGGAUGACGGCCUUCGGGUUGUAAACCGCUUUCGCCUGUGACGAAGCGUGAGUGACGGUAAUGGGUAAAGAAGCAACGGCUAACUACGUG